AACAGUACUCUUUAGAAAACAAAAUUCACACCAAAUGGUUUCUCUAAUUUUGCUGAAAAUUGGACUCCUAGUCUACCUCCCUCUCCAGAGAGACACAAAAGCCCCCCCUUCUAAUACUCAUCCUUUAUAAGCAGCAGGGGAAAUG